AACAAACGCUGGCGGCGUGCCUAACACAUGCAAGUCGUACGAGAAAGGGUCCUUCGGGGCCUGAGUAAAGUGGCGCACGGGUGAGUAACGCGUGGAUAAUCUGCCCUUCAGUUGGGAAUAACUCAUCGAAAGGUGGGCUAAUACCGAAUAAUGCUGUGAGACCUCGGUUGAUCAGCCAAAGAGAGCCUCUGCUUGCAAGCCCUCGCUGAAGGAUGAGUCCGCGUACCAUUAGCUAGUUGGUAGGGUAAUGGCCUACCAAGGCGACGAUGGUUAGGUGGUCUGAGAGGAUGAUCAGCCACACUGGAACUGAGACACGGUCCAGGCUCCUACGGGAGGCAGCAGUGAGGAAUCUUGCGCAAUGGGGGCAACCCUGACGCAGCAACGCCGCGUGAGUGAGGAAGGUCUUCGGAUCGUAAAGCUCUGUCGGAUGGAAAGAACCGCAUAGGGGUAAACAGCCCCUGUGUCUGACGGUACCGUCAAAGGAAGCACCGGCUAACUCCGUGCCAGCCGCCGCCGUAACAC
rnacentral:rRNA from 1 species